rnacentral:lncRNA from 1 species
ACCUACAAAACAAUGUUAUAUUAGUGUACAAAUAUCAACAACACCAAUUAAAAUUGAUUUGGAUCAUUAUCCAUGUGCCUUGCUUUUUGAUCCUGAAAAAUCAAGCAAAUAUUAGCAACUAGACCACUAGGCCAAGCCUAGGGUCCAAAAGCAAUAAAAAACUUAAAACAGCAAGGUAUCCACCAUCCAACAUCAAAUUAUCAUCAAACACAAGCAAACAUCAUUGGUCUCAUGUUUAUAUCAUCCAUCAUAUUCAAUUCAUGCACAAAACAAGUCCAUAGGUGGUGUUCAAAUGAAAGCCACCGAAUAUUAUUUACAAUACAGAUAUAGUAUUUGCAUUCAAUAGCAUUGCCAAACUCAUUUUCAAAGAAGAUCUUCAAUUAAAUACACGAUAAACUAGGGGGUCAAAUCAAGGGUCUACCAUGUCAAAUUUGAGCUCAAUUGGGCAAAUGAAACCAUGUCAAUGAAAAUCAACAAAAACAGACACAAUUUCAUGCUUCAAUUCACAACAUCAGCACAUGCUUCCACUUCAAAAAUUCAUAUCUCAAUGAAAACAAAAAAGAAAUGGAUGAGACCAAAACAGGGAUGUCACAUUAUGUGUCUACAACAUUCAUAUCAAAUUUCAUGGCCAUACAAUACAAUAUGAGGAUUUCCCAAUCAAUCUACCAACCUAUGUCACAUGAGCUUGCAUAAAUGAUCACCAGAGAUGAAAAAUAGCAAUCAAUUUGAAAAUGCCACAUAAAAUUCCACAAAAAUUCACAUAGCAUUUUGACAUGUUAAUCAACCAUCAUGCAAAAUUUCACAUUAAUCCAACAAGUAUAUGUCACUCAAAAAAAUUCAACAAGUUGACAUCAAGAGGUGUGACACAAAUUGUCACACCUAAGUUCCAGAAUUUGCUGCUCUCUAACCAGGUA